rnacentral:rRNA from 1 species
UACGUAGGCAGCAAGCGUUGUUCGGAGUUACUGGGCGUAAAGAGCGCGCAGGCGGUCGUACAAGUCGCGUGUGAAAGCCCCCGGCUCAACUGGGGAGGGUCACGCGAUACUGUUCGACUCGAAGGCAGGAGAGGGAAGUGGAAUUCCCGGUGUAGUGGUGAAAUGCGUAGAUAUCGGGAGGAACACCAGUGGCGAAGGCGACUUCCUGGCCUGUUCUUGACGCUGAGGCGCGAAAGCUAGGGUAGCAAACGGG